rnacentral:lncRNA from 1 species
GGAAUGGCGUGAGGCUUACUGGACCUGGUGAUUGUGGGCAGCCGAACGGGAAUCUGGGUCACCUGAGAGCAGUUAAAAAGAUUAAGCGGAGCUGUAGACGCGCAGUAUUGCUACGCUAGCCCACUGAUUCCUUUUUUUUUUUUUUUCCCCUCAAAAUUGGAAGUUUUAGUACUUGUAUGAUAGUCAAUAUCCUUAGUUUCACUUUACAUCAGGAACUUUCCAACGAGUGUUCGGUGGUUGUUUUUCUUAAACGUUCGUCUGGUAGUGCUGUAUUUAACAAUAUAGUAUAAAGCUUGAAGUAUUACAGUGCCCCGCUAUUACUUCAGUGCUAGGAAAGUGUUCGGUAGGAGGAAGACAGGAUGAGGCAUGGGGAAAAGGUUUGUUCUGCUUCAGAAACGUUAAUGCUAAACGUGCAUCUUGUUGCUUAAUUUGUUUCAAGCUCAUGGCAGGCCGUAUACAUAUUUUGGUACUUUCUUAAAUCCAACAAAAUAGAGACUAUUUUGAAAGAUUUCUUUGUGUUAUAACUCAAAGUGUGGCUAAAGACAGGAUUUUACUACUGUAUUCUGCAGCUGUUGACCUAGAAAAUGCAAGAAAGGGACAUAAUAGAUCACAGAUGGAACCAGCUUUACUGUUAUCUAAAAACUUUGGUUUCAAGAAAUUUUCCUAACAGCUACAUAAAAAGUACGGUAAGUGGUAGAUUUUCUGGAAGAAAAUAACUUAAGGCAAGAGGUUGCACGUGUAUUUGUGUUUAUAAUGUGAUUUUUAAGAGUUCUCUAAUCUCUUAUAUUUGCUACUAAAGGAUAUAGAAGCACCACACUUUUGGACUGACUGAAAUUUGAAAUAUAGCUAAUAUAUAUGUGUUUUUGUUAGAAAAAUGAAAAGAGCACUCUUAAUCAGUCUGGAACUGAUGUAAUUCUGAUACCAAUAAAGAUAUCAAAGUGAGAAAAGGCAAAUACCAGUUUCUAUCCAUCAAAUAAAGGACAUAGAAUUACUGAUUUAUGUAGAAAAUAACCUAAAAUGGGAAACUCACUGAGAAUUGCUGCUAAAAUAAAUAACAUUGUUUGCCACCACAAGUCAUUAACCAGUUGCUUUUAGCAAAGAUUCGUGGGAAAAUUUUGACUGUACCUCACUGCUAAGUUCUUUCCUAUUCUAAGCCUUAGAAUAGUGAUUCUUCCAUGUACAUCUGUAUACCCCAACCACCACUGUGGAGAUUAAGGGUAUUGUGAUACAGCUGCC